CUCGUGAAGACGACGACCCCCGCCAAGGGCGGUGUCACAGGUGUUGCAUGGCUGUCGUCAGCUCGUGCCGUGAGGUUGUUGGGUUAAGUCCCGCAACGAGCGCAACCCUUUGUCGCCAGUUGAUCUCUCUGGCGAGACUGCCGAGUUUAACUCGGAGGAAGGCGGGAUGACGUCAAGUCAGCAUGGCCCUUAUAUCCCGGGCUACACACACGCUACAAUGGGUGGUACAGAGGGUUGCUAAACCGCGAGGUGGAGCCAAUCCCACAAAGCCAUCCUCAGUUCAGAUUGCAGUCUGCAACUCGACUGCAUGAAGGCGGAGUUGCUAGUAACCGCAGGUCAGCAUACUGCGGUGAAUACGUUCCCGGGGCUU
rnacentral:rRNA from 1 species